AUGAACGCUGGCGGCAGGCCUAACACAUGCAAGUCGAACGGAGUUAUAUUGUAGCUUGCUAUGGUAUAACUUAGUGGCAGACGGGUGAGUAAUGUAUAGGAAUCUACCUAGUAGUACGGAAUAAUUGUUGGAAACGGCAACUAAUACCGUAUACGCCCUACGGGGGAAAAAUUUAUUGCUAUUAGAUGAGCCUAUAUUAGAUUAGCUAGUUGGUGGAGUAAUAGCCUACCAAGGCAAUGAUCUAUAGCUGAUCUGAGAGGAUGAUCAGCCACACUGGAACUGAGAUACGGUCCAGACUCCUACGGGAGGCAGCAGUGGGGAAUAUUGGACAAUGGGCGAAAGCCUGAUCCAGCCAUGCCGCAUGAGUGAAGAAGGCCUUUGGGUUGUAAAGCUCUUUUAGUGAGGAAGAUAAUGACGGUACUCACAGAAGAAGUCCUGGCUAACUCCGUGCCAGCAGCCGCGGUAAUACGGAGAGGGCUAGCGUUAUUCGGAAUUAUUGGGCGUAAAGGGCGCGUAGGCGGAUUAGUAAGUUAAAAGUGAAAUCCCAAGGCUCAACCUUGGAAUUGCUUUUAAAACUGCUAAUCUAGAGNGUGNNAGAGGAUA
rnacentral:rRNA from 1 species